GACGAACGCCGGCGGCGUGCUUAACACAUGCAAGUCGAACGGUAAGGCUCCAGCUUGCUGGGGUACACGAGUGGCGAACGGGUGAGUAACACGUGGGUGACCUGCCCUGCACUUCGGGAUAAGCCUGGGAAACUGGGUCUAAUACCGGAUAGGACCGCACCGUGAGGGUGUGGUGGAAAGUUUUUUCGGUGUGGGAUGGGCCCGCGGCCUAUCAGCUUGUUGGUGGGGUAAUGGCCUACCAAGGCGGCGACGGGUAGCCGGCCUGAGAGGGUGGACGGCCACAUUGGGACUGAGACACGGCCCAGACUCCUACGGGAGGCAGCAGUGGGGAAUAUUGCACAAUGGGCGGAAGCCUGAUGCAGCGACGCCGCGUGGGGGAUGACGGCCUUCGGGUUGUAAACUCCUUUCACCAUCGACGAAGGGUUUCUGACGGUAGAUGGAGAAGAAGCACCGGCUAACUACGUGCCAGCAGCCGCGGUAAUACGUAGGGUGCGAGCGUUGUCCGGAAUUACUGGGCGUAAAGAGCUCGUAGGUGGUUUGUCGCGUCGUCUGUGAAAUUCCGGGGCUUAACUCCGGGCGUGCAGGCGAUACGGGCAUAACUUGAGUACUGUAGGGGAGACUGGAAUUCCUGGUGUAGCGGUGAAAUGCGCAGAUAUCAGGAGGAACACCGGUGGCGAAGGCGGGUCUCUGGGCAGUAACUGACGCUGAGGAGCGAAAGCAUGGGGAGCGAACAGG
rnacentral:rRNA from 1 species